rnacentral:rRNA from 1 species
GACGAACGCUGGCGGCGUGCUUAACACAUGCAAGUCGAACGGAAAGGCCCCCUUGUGGGGUGCUCGCGUGGCGAACGGGUGGGUAACACGUGAGUAACCUACCCUUGACUUUGGGAUAACUUCAGGAAACUGGGGCUAAUACCGGAUAGGAGCUCCUGCUGCAUGGUGGGGGUUGGAAGGUUUCGGCGGUUGGGGUUGGACUCGCGGCUUAUCAGCUUGUUGGUGGGGUAGUGGCUCACCAAGGCUUUGACGGGUAGCCGGCCUGAGAGGGUGACCGGCCACAUUGGGACUGAGAUACGGCCCAGACUCCUACGGGAGGCAGCAGGGGGGAAUAUUGCACAAUGGGCGGAAGCCUGAUGCAGCAACGCCGCGUGCGGGAUGACGGCCUUCGGGUUGUAAACCGCUUUCGCCUGUGACGAAGCGUGAGUGACGGUAAUGGGUAAAGAAGCACCGGCUAACUACGUG